GUUCAUGUACAAAGCUCCAUGUAAAAUUUUAGAUUUAGGAGCUGGAACUCUGUCCAGAUCAUCAGUUAAUUUAUUAAACAGGUGUCCACAUUUUCACUACAUGAGUAGUACACAUAGAAUUAACUUUUUAUGGAUGUCAAGUUAUCUUUAAAAUAUGUCCCAUCUCUGAUAUACGUGCACAAUUCCCUGUCGUCUAUGGCUGACUUAAGUAACAGCUUACCCUUUUAUAUGAUGAGAUUAUUAUUUGAUUUCAGUGUUCUACACCAGUAGAACAUACCUGCAAACUCUACAGAGACAGCAAUUCAACUUCAGGCUGUUGUAUUUGUAUUUUAGUUUUAACAGUUGCACUUGCUGAUGAAUUAAUAAUUCCUUGUACAUUUUUGUGGUGUUUCUCAUGUUACUGAUUGUCAUGCCCAACAUGAUCUCCGGGUGGGGACUACUCAAGAGGACGUCGUUAUCGGGAGAAAGAAAACUGGCAUUCUAUGGAUCGGAGCAUGGAAUGUCAGAUCCCUUAAUCGGGCAGCUUUAGGUGAGACUAUUCUAUCAUACUCACAGUGAAAAUUUGAAAAAUGAAGGAGGUGAUGACAGGAACUGCAAAGGUAAAGGAUGCUGUAGGAAGUGUAACAGUCAGUGUAGAUCCUCAGCAACAUGUGAAAUUUGAACAAAAUUCAUUUACAAAGACUGUCCCAAGGGAUGUAUAUAACAGAGUGAAAAAGCAUCUUUGGGAUGGUGUGUCACCGCUGUUUGUGUCUGAGGACAGAGAAGCACAAAGAUCAGUCCAAAACUGACUGGUUAUGAGUUUGUCUUUGUUGUCAUUAAUGAAAAACUCUAGUAUCAUUAUCUUUCUGUGUAAUGUUAGUGAUUUAACUGCUGGCAUAAAACAUCUCUGUUUCUCAUUAGGAUGUAAAAGAAUAUAACAAUAACAUCUUGGUCUUCCAUUGAAUGAAACAGAUAACUAGUUAAUUGUUGGCAAGAAAUUAUUUUUGUGCUGCAUAUGUUACUUUAGGUACAUUGUUGUAAUAACAGUAAGAGACUUUGCUUGCAAUAUACCCUUGAAUAAUUACUCCAUAAAUGAAUUACUCCUCUCUCUCUCUCUCUCUCUCUCUCUCUCUCUCUCUCUCUCUCUCUCUCUCUCUCUCCCCCCCUCUCCCCCCUUCCCUCCCUUCCUUCCUCACCAUCUCCCCCCCCCCUCCUCCUUUUUGGUUUUUGGCACAGUGGCAUACAAGUAGUAUAAAAUGCUGUAUUGGCAAAGAUAUGUAUCUGUGAACAGUAGCACAUAAGAAAAUAUUUUGUGAAUUGUAAUUUCUGUGUAAUCUAUGAGACAGCAUUUGACCAGCUUUUAGCUCUGCUGAUGAAACCACUUACGAAUUGUGACAAUUGUGCACUAACACAUGCAGUCUUUAUUGGGCCCUUGACCCAUGAAAUACAUCACUAACUGAAACUGAAGUUGUUUUCACCAACUGUGGGAAGAAUAAAACAAAUGUUAAUGUA